CUCCGGUUGAUCCCGCCGGACCCGACUGCUAUCAGAGUGGGACUAAGCCAUGCGAGUCAACAUAGCAAUAUGUGGCAUACGGCUCAGUAACACGUAGUCAACAUGCCCAGGGGACGUGGAUAACCUCGGGAAACUGAGGAUAAACCGCGAUAGGUCAUCACUUCUGGAAUGGGUAAUGACUUAAAUCUAUAUGGCCCCUGGAUUGGACUGCGGCCGAUCAGGCUGUUGGUGAGGUAAUGGCCCACCAAACCUGUAACCGGUACGGGCUCUGAGAGGAGGAGCCCGGAGAUGGGCACUGAGACAAGGGCCCAGGCCCUAUGGGGCGCAGCAGGCGCGAAACCUCUGCAAUAGGCGAAAGCUUGACAGGGUUACUCUGAGUGAUUUCCGUUAAGGAGAUCUUUUGGCACCUCUAAAAAUGGUGCAGAAUAAGGGGUGGGCAAGUCUGGUGUCAGCCGCCGCGGUAAUACCAGCACCCCGAGUGGUCGGGACGUUUAUUGGGCCUAAAGCAUCCGUAGCCGGUUCUACAAGUCUUCCGUUAAAUCCACCUGCUUAACAGAUGGGCUGCGGAAGAUACUAUAGAGCUAGGAGGCGGGAGAGGCAAGCGGUACUCGAUGGGUAGGGGUAAAAUCCGUUGAUCCAUUGAAGACCACCAGUGGCGAAGGCGGCUUGCCAGAACGCGCUCGACGGUGAGGGAUGAAAGCUGGGGGAGCAAACCGGAUUAGAUACCCGGGUAGUCCCAGCUGUAAACGAUGCAGACUCGGUGAUGAGUUGGCUUAUUGCUAACUCAGUGCCGCAGGGAAGCCGUUAAGUUUGCCGCCUGGGGAGUACGGUCACAAGACUGAAACUUAAAGGAAUUGGCGGGGGAGCA
rnacentral:rRNA from 1 species